rnacentral:siRNA from 1 species
UACCGUUUUGUUUCGUCUGCGGCG